rnacentral:tRNA from 1 species
GCUCCAGUAGCUCAGUUGGAUCAGAGCGUCUCGCUACGAACGAGAAGGUCGCAGGUUCGAGCCCUGCCUGGAGUACCA